UACGUAGGGUCCGAGCGUUGUCCGGAAUUACUGGGCGUAAAGAGCUCGUAGGUGGUUUGUCGCGUUGUUCGUGAAAACUCACAGCUCAACUGUGGGCGUGCGGGCGAUACGGGCAGACUUGAGUACUGCAGGGGAGACUGGAAUCCCUGGUGUAGCGGUGGAAUGCGCAGAUAUCAGGAGGAACACCGGUGGCGAAGGCGGGUCUCUGGGCAGUAACUGACGCUGAGGAGCGAAAGCGUGGGGAGCGAACAGG
rnacentral:rRNA from 1 species